UACAGAGGGUGCGAGCGUUAAUCGGAAUUACUGGGCGUAAAGCGCACGCAGGUGGCUAGGUCAGUCGAUUGUGAAAGCCCUGGGCUUAACCUGGGAAUUGCAGUCGAUACUACUUAGCUAGAGUAUGGGAGAGGGCAGUGGAAUUCCCGGUGUAGCGGUGAAAUGCGUAGAUAUCGCUUGGAACGCCAACGGUGAAAACAGGUUGCUGGGGUUGUGCCGACGCUGGAGACACGAAAGCCAGGGGAGCAAACGGG
rnacentral:rRNA from 1 species